rnacentral:rRNA from 1 species
CCUACGGGAGGCAGCAGUAAGGAAUAUUGGUCAAUGGACGAAAGUCUGAACCAGCCAUGCCGCGUGAAGGAUUAAGGCCCUCUGGGUUGUAAACUUCUUUUAUCUGGGACGAAAAAAGGGUAUUCUUACUCACUUGACGGUACCAGAGGAAUAAGCACCGGCUAACUCCGUGCCAGCAGCCGCGGUAGUACGGAGGGUGCAAGCGUUAUCCGGAUUUACUAGGUUUAAAGGGUGCGUAGGUGGGCUUGUAAGUCAGUGGUGAAAUCUCCGGGCUUAACCCCGGAAACUGCCAUUGAUACUAUAGGUCUUGAAUUAUCUGGAGGUAAGCGGAAUAUGUCAUGUAGCGGUGAAAUGCUUAGAUAUGACAUAGAACACCAAUUGCGAAGGCAGCUUACUACGGAUACAUUGACACUGAGGCACGAAAGCGUGGGGAUCAAACAGGAUUAGAUACCCUGGUAGUCCACGCCCUAAACGAUGGAUACUCGACAUCAGCGANACACUGUUGGUUGUNUGAGCGAAGACAUUAAUAUCCNCCCUCGGAAGUAGANCGCAGAUAGAACUACAAUAGAAGUUAGUACGGCGUGAGACGUACGCCGAACGGACCGACCGACGAGGGGAGGGUUAGGGAGG